GCUGAAAGCAUCUAAGCACGAAACUUGCCCCGAGAUGAGUUCUCCCUGACUCCUUGAGAGUCCUGAAGGGACGUUGAAGACUACGACGUUGAUAGGCCGGGUGUGUAAGCGCAGCGAUGCGUUGAGCUAACCGGUACUAAUGACCCGUGAGGCUUAACCUUACAACGCCAGAGGCGUUU
rnacentral:rRNA from 1 species